UACGUAGGGUGCGAGCGUUGUCCGGAAUUAUUGGGCGUAAAGAGCUCGUAGGCGGUUUGUCGCGUCGACUGUGAAAACCCGAGGCUUAACCUCGGGCCUGCAGUCGAUACGGGCAGACUAGAGUUCGGUAGGGGAGACGUGGAAUUCCUGGUGUAGCGGUGAAAUGCGCAGAUAUCAGGAGGAACACCGGUGGCGAAGGCGGUUCUCUGGGCAUUACCUGACGCUGAGGAGCGAAAGUGUGGGGAGCGAACAGG
rnacentral:rRNA from 1 species